rnacentral:rRNA from 1 species
UGGGGAAUUUUGGACAAUGGGCGAAAGCCUGAUCCAGCAAUGCCGCGUGUGUGAAGAAGGCCUUCGGGUUGUAAAGCACUUUUGUCCGGAAAGAAAUCCUUGGCUCUAAUACAGUCGGGGGAUGACGGUACCGGAAGAAUAAGCACCGGCUAACUACGUGCCAGCAGCCGCGGUAAUACGUAGGGUGCAAGCGUUAAUCGGAAUUACUGGGCGUAAAGCGUGCGCAGGCGGUUUGCUAAGACCGAUGUGAAAUCCCCGGGCUCAACCUGGGAACUGCAUUGGUGACUGGCAGGCUAGAGUAUGGCAGAGGGGGGUAGAAUUCCACGUGUAGCAGUGAAAUGCGUAGAGAUGUGGAGGAAUACCGAUGGCGAAGGCAGCCCCCUGGGCCAAUACUGACGCUCAUGCACGAAAGCGUGGGGAGCAAACAGGAUUAGAUACCCUGGUAGUCCACGCCCUAAACGAUGUCAACUAGUUGUUGGGGAUUCAUUUCCUUAGUAACGUAGCUAACGCGUGAAGUUGACCGCCUGGGGAGUACGGUCGCAAGAUUAAAACUUAAAGGAAUUGACGGGGUCAUAGCU